rnacentral:rRNA from 1 species
GACGAACGCUGGCGGCGUGCUUAACACAUGCAAGUCGAACGAAAAGAGGGAAAGAGCUUGCUCUUUCCGGAAUUGAGUGGCAAACGGGUGAGUAACACGUAAACAACCUGCCUUCAGGAUGGGGACAACAGACGGAAACGACUGCUAAUACCGAAUAAGUUCCAAGGGCCGCAUGGCCCAUGGAAGAAAAGGUGGCCUCUACCUGUCAGCUAUCGCCUGAAGAGGGGUUUGCGGCUGAUUAGCUGGUUGGAGGGGUAACGGCCCACCAAGGCGACGAUCAGUAGCCGGUCUGAGAGGAUGAACGGCCACACUGGAAUUGAGACACGGUCCAGACUCCUACGGGAGGCAGCAGUGGGGAAUCUUCCGCAAUGGGCGAAAGCCUGACGGAGCAACGCCGCGUGAGUGAUGACGGCCUUCGUGUUGUAAAACUCUGUGAUCCGGGACGAAAAGGCAGAGUGCGAAGAACAAACUGCAUUGACGGUACCGGAAAAGCAAGCCACGGCUAACUACGUG